GGGUCCGGACACACUGAGGAUUGACAGGCAAUUAUUGUGCUUUGUAGCCUUUUUUAAGUUGCUUACACAACAACAAAUUAUGCUAGCCCUUUCAUGAUUAUGUGAUAGGUGGUGCAUGGCCGUUCUUAGUUCGUGGAGUGAUCUGUCUGCUUAAUUGCGUUUCAUCAGGGACCAUGUUUAUUUAUGUACUUUCUUACUCGCUUUUUAAGCACUUUUUGUGUUUUUUAAGCUUGUACUUUAGUGCAAUUGGUCCUGAAAGCAACGAACGUGACCGCAUCCUCUUGUUGCCUUUUUAACUUGAGUUGUUUACACUUCUCAUAACAUAAGAGGCUUUCCUAAAACUAGAGGGACCGCUGCGACUUUUUUAAACCAGAGGAAGGUUGCGGCAAUAACAGGUCUGUGAUGCCCUUAGAUGUUCCGGGCUGCACACGUGCUACAAUGAUUAUUGCAGUGAGCAUCUCAUUUUAUUUUUUGUGCUUGUCUUGUCUGACUCUUUUACGAGGGAAAGACGACAGCCUUAGCCUGCUUCGAAAGUUCGCAGGU
rnacentral:rRNA from 1 species